CUCCAAGCUUCAUUCCGAAAAUAGGCCCGUACUUAUCUGCCAAGCGGCCCAACAUUUUGUGAGGCAACUGAUCAGAUACAGAUCCAGCGAGAAGGUGGAGAUGGCCGAUAAUAGGCCAUGCUCCGCCAGCUUCAGGCAAAUAUGGGCCAAUUUUCACAGUAUAUUUGGAGCCCAUCAAGUUCUGUUGAACGAUAGAAAGAUAGCCCAAGAUUCGUUGGCAAUAGAGCUAUAGGCCUAUAACGUAGCCGUUUUGGGAAAGGCCCAUAAGGCCCAUAUCGGAGAGAAAUGGAAAAAAUAGUCGUACUCGAAUUACUCUCUAAAAUUAUUGUGUACAAAUGUUUAGACACAUUAGUGUGAAUUACAUGUAUCUAGUAUAAUAGAUAAAUCUAGUCUGCCUCCCUCUUAUCUUGCUCA